CCUAGGGGUAGUAGCUAGCUAGAAUCUACUCCUCCCUUCAGCCCACUGCUAGUGGUUACUGGUUGUUGUGGGAGCUGGGGCUAGUAGCUAGCUAGAAUCUACUCUUCCCUUCAGCCCACUGCUAGUGGUUACUGGUUGUUGUGGGAGCUUAUUCCCUCCUGAUUCCAGGAAUCCUCCAACCAAGAUUUUGACUGACUUAUUCAGGUGGACCAGUUUAACAGUAUGAUGAGAGACUGACUUAUUCAGGUGGACCAGUUCAACAGUAUGAUGAGAGACUGACUUAUUCAGGUGGACCAGUUCAACAGUAUGAUGAGAGACUGACUUAUUCAGGUGGACCAGUUCAACAGUAUGAUGAGAGACUGACUUAUUCAGGUGGACCAGUUCAACAGUAUGAUGAGAGACUGACUUAUUCAGGUGGACCAGUUCAACAGUAUGAUGAGAGACUGACUUAUUCAGGUGGACCAGUUCAACAGUAUGAUGAGAGACUGACUUAUUCAGGUGGACCAGUUCAACAGUAUGAUGAGAGACUGACUUAUUCAGGUGGACCAGUUCAACAGUAUGAUGAGAGACUGACAGUGGCUACAGCCUCAUCAUAUCCAGAUUGAUGCUGACAUGAGGAAAUGUAUCAACCCAGACCUCCAUGGGUUGAUACAUUUGAUUUCCA